GUUACCCACUCUGGAAUUAAGGCAUACAGCUGUGACAUCUGUGGAAAAACCUUCAGUCGGAUAGACAGCCGAAAUAUACACCUACGCAUUCACACUGGACAUGAUGUGUACUGCUGUGAUCAGUGUGGCAAACAGUUCACAGGUGACGCACAGUUACAACGCCACAUGUUUACCCACACUGAGGAGAGACCUUAUAAAUGUGACCUGUGUGAGAAGACUUUUAAAUCUCCACGUUACCUGAGAGAACACCAAAAGAUCCACACCAGAAAGAGACUCUACAAGUGCAGUUAGUGUGAGAAGCAGAGCGACACAGAUGGAUCCACUUCUCAACCCUGUCAUCGCUGUGGUGGUGGGAAAGACUUUCAUUGUGACCUUUGUGGAAAAACUUUCAGUUGGCAAGGCUCCCUAAAAACACAUCAACGAAGACACACUGGAGACAAACUGAAAUACUGCAAAGAAUGUGGGAGAAGCUUCACCACAUCAAGUUACUUCAAACAACAUAAACUGAUUCACAGUGGGGUUAAAAAGCACCUCUGUGAUCAGUGUGGGUCAUCCUUCACCACUGCAAGUCAGCUUAAAUCACACAAACGAUCCCACGUUACUAAUAAACUGUUUCACUGUUACCAAUGUCUGAUGGGCUGUUGUGUUGUUGUUGGUGAUGCUGGAUGAAGGGCUGGUGGACCAGGUGAGCUCAGGUUGAGGGUAGAUCCCGUCUGAGCUGCAGGUGAUCCUUUGUCCUACUUGUUGGAGAUUAACUUUACGGACUGGAGCUGGAAAAAAAACUAAGAAUAAAAAAACUAAAGAAAAAUAUAUUUCUAAACAAGUCAGAACACAAUUUUCCUUUUCUGUUUAUUCCAUGUUAACAUGAUUUAACUUAACAAAAAUCAUGUAAACAUGGUGAAUGGAUUGCUGAGGACUGGGGCAAAGUCAUAUUCUCAGAUGAAGCCUCUUUCCGAUUGUUUGAAGCAUCUGGAAAAAGGCUUGUGCAGAGAAGAAAUGGUGAGCGCUACCAUCAGUCCUGUGUCAUGCCAACAGUAAAGCGUCCUGAGACCAUUCAUGUGUGGGGUUGCUUCUCAUCCAAGGGAGUCUGCUCACAAUUUUGCCCCCAAACACAGCCAUGAAUAAAGAAUGGUCCCAAAACACCCUCCAACAGAGCUACAGAUUAAAAAUGCCCAAGGCGAAGCACUCAAAAGUCUGGCUGUACUUCACAGCAUCUGAUGAAGCACCUGGUGAUGCAUAGAGUUUUUGUAAAAGCUAGAAAAUGCACCGUAUUUGACAGCUUGCUGCAAGGUCGAGCACAUCUAUUGCGGAUGUGGUGCCUGUUAUCGGACCUGGAGUUAGCAACAUCCCCCAAGAACCCGAAGAGUGGAGUCCUGGCCUCUAGCCCUGCCAGUGUAGCACCGGUUCCAACCAAAGGAGUUAUGUUGUAUCAACAGAAAAGGCUAACUUGGUUAUUAUUUUGCAGAAAAAAAGAGACUGCUAAAAAUAAAAACACAAGAGGUUUUUGUACAAA